rnacentral:rRNA from 1 species
AAAAGGUGGCUAUGCUACCGCUUUUGGAUGGGCCCGCGGCGCAUUAGCUAGUUGGUGGGGUAAAGGCUUACCAAGGCAAUGAUGCGUAGCCGAACUGAGAGGUUGAUCGGCCACAUUGGGACUGAGACACGGCCCAAACUCCUACGGGAGGCAGCAGUAGGGAAUCUUCCACAAUGGGCGAAAGCCUGAUGGAGCAACGCCGCGUGGGUGAAGAAGGUCUUCGGAUCGUAAAACCCUGUUGUUAGAGAAGAAAGUGCGUGAGAGUAACUGUUCACGUUUCGACGGUAUCUAACCAGAAAGCCACGGCUAACCACGUGCCAGCAGCCGCGGUAAUACGUAGGUGGCAAGCGUUAUCCGGAUUUAUUGGGCGUAAAGGGAACGCAGGCGGUCUUUUAAGUCUGAUGUGAAAGCCUUCGGCUUAACCGGAGUAGUGCAUUGGAAACUGGGAGACUUGAGUGCAGAAGAGGAGAGUGGAACUCCAUGUGUAGCGGUGAAAUGCGUAGAUAUAUGGAAGAACACCAGUGGCGAAAGCGGCUCUCUGGUCUGUAACUGACGCUGAGGUUCGAAAGCGUGGGUAGCAAACAGGAUUAGAUACCCUGGUAGUCCACGCCGUAAACGAUGAAUGCUAAGUGUUGGAGGGUUUCCGCCCUUCA